rnacentral:lncRNA from 10 species
GCUACCAUAUUACAUCACAGCAAACUCCAAGGCUCAUAAUCACUUCCCAAUUAUUACCACUUGGCAAAUUGCCACGGCUAUCACACAAAAACUAUUAUGGUAACUAUGGUCUGGAUGAGGAUAUUGACAACUGGUAAAAUGUCCAAAGCCAACUUGAAUGAAUCAUCCAUGCUACAGAUCAGAACAAUCUGUUCAAUGAAGCGGCAUACAUAGAUUAUGCAUACAGUUGUCAUGAAGGU